rnacentral:rRNA from 1 species
CCUACGGGGGGCUGCAGUCGAGAAUAUUUAGCAAUGGACGAAAGUCUGACUAUGCGACGCCGCGUGAGGGAUGAAGGUUUUCGGAUCGUAAACCUCUUUCGAUAGGGAAGAAACUCCCUGCCCGUAAGGGCAGGUGCUGACGGUACCUAGAGAAGAAGCCAUGGCCAACUCCGUGCCAGCAGCCGCGGUAAUACGGGGAUGGCGAGCGUUACUCGGAUUUACUGGGUGUAAAGGGCAGGUAGGCGGUUUUGCAAGUUGAAGGUUAAAUCCUCUGACUCAAUCAGAGAACUGCCUUCAAAACUACAUAACUUGAGGAUUGGAGAGGAGAGCGGAAUUCCAGGUGUAAGGGUGAAAUCUGUAGAUAUCUGGAGGAACACCCGUGGCGAAAGCGGCUCUCUGGACAAUAUCUGACGCUGAAGUGCGAAAGCUAGGGGAGCAAACAGGCUUAGAUACCCGAGUAGUC